rnacentral:rRNA from 1 species
UGGGGAAUUUUGGACAAUGGGCGAAAGCCUGAUCCAGCAAUGCCGCGUGUGUGAAGAAGGCCUUCGGGUUGUAAAGCACUUUUGUCCGGAAAGAAAUCCUUGGCUCUAAUACAGUCGGGGGAUGACGGUACCGGAAGAAUAAGCACCGGCUAACUACGUGCCAGCAGCCGCGGUAAUACGUAGGGUGCAAGCGUUAAUCGGAAUUACUGGGCGUAAAGCGUGCGCAGGCGGUUUGCUAAGACCGAUGUGAAAUCCCCGGGCUCAACCUGGGAACUGCAUUGGUGACUGGCAGGCUAGAGUAUGGCAGAGGGGGGUAGAAUUCCACGUGUAGCAGUGAAAUGCGUAGAGAUGUGGAGGAAUACCGAUGGCGAAGGCAGCCCCCUGGGCCAAUACUGACGCUCAUGCGCGAAAGCGUGGGGAGCAAACAGGAUUAGAUACCCUGGUAGUCCACGCCUAAACGAUGUCAACUAGUUGUUGGGGAUUCAUUUCCUUAGUAACGUAGCUAACGCGUGAAGUUGACCGCCUGGGGAGUACGGUCGCAAGAUUAAAACUUAAAUGAAUUGACGGGGUCAUAGCUGUUUCCU